AUUGAACGCUGGCGGCAUGCUUUACACAUGCAAGUCGAACGGUAACAGGCCGCAAGGUGCUGACGAGUGGCGAACGGGUGAGUAGUGCAUCGGAACGUGCCCAGUCGUGGGGGAUAACGCAGCGAAAGCUGUGCUAAUACCGCAUACGAUCUAUGGAUGAAAGCGGGGGACCGUAAGGCCUCGCGCGAUUGGAGCGGCCGAUGUCAGAUUAGGUAGUUGGUGGGGUAAAGGCCCACCAAGCCAACGAUCUGUAGCUGGUCUGAGAGGACGACCAGCCACACUGGGACUGAGACACGGCCCAGACUCCUCCGGGAGGCAGCAGUGGGGAAUUUUGGACAAUGGGCGCAAGCCUGAUCCAGCAAUGCCGCGUGCAGGAAGAAGGCCUUCGGGUUGUAAACUGCUUUUGUACGGAACGAAACGGUCUGGGUUAAUACCCUGGGCUAAUGACGGUACCGUAAGAAUAGGCACCGGCUAACUACGUGCCAGCAGCCGCCGUAAGAC
rnacentral:rRNA from 1 species